AUCCUUUUCUGGUUGAUAAGCAUAAUGAUUGGAAGUUUACACAUUUGUGUGACCUAUGCCUCCCUUAAAUCUUAUAUUUAAGGUCUUUUAAUCUAUUUGAUC